rnacentral:lncRNA from 1 species
AGAGAGCGGGGCGCGGGCUGCGGGGCCCGGCGGCCUGGACGGCGGAGCGUUGAAAGCUCCCCCAGGGAUAGGAAGUGCAGCCGAAAUCAACGAUUGAGGUCAGUGAAGGAGCGGACGCUUGAGGCCUUGGAGGGGAAGCAGGUUUCUCCAGGAGGGAACCCGGGCCUCCGCUUUGCUCAGCGCUCCCCUCGCGAAUGUGUUGAGCACCUGUUAUGUGCUGGGGGUACAGAGGGUCUGAGCACCUCCCUCAUGCAGACAGAGCCCCGGCUCCCAUGUUCACCAUGCUGAGAAAGACCUGCGGGGGACAGCAGGAGGACAGCCGGGGAAUGGGCCCGCACUUGCCCAGAGUCCCUGAUGGUGUCGUCUUGGGAGUGGAGGAACCUGAGGGAAAAGCCCAGGGACGAGUCAGGGGAGAGCUCUGCCCUGGUGCUCUUGCACGUAUCCACAUGGGCCACAGCUGCACCCGGCUCUCAGCAGAGGGCAUCGCCAUGCUCCUGGGCACAGCCGGGCCCUCUCGCCUCCCUGCGGCUCCUGAUGCCUCCCAGGCUCCGCUGAGGUCACCUUGGGCACUUAGCGUGGCUGCAGCUCUUUGCAGCCCCGUGUCCUGUCAUCCAUGUGGCCGUCAUGUGGUCACUUUUGGGCAUUGCCCUGCGCAAGGUCCAUGGGGACUGGGCACCUUUGGCCAUUCUUUCUUUGGUUGUCUGUGCAAGUAAUAAACUAAAUCUGAAAA